UAGUACAUCUUACGCGUCUUUCCCUUGGAAAAAUUAAUACACGCAUAGAUUUUACAGUGAGCAAUCAUCGUGUAGUCCCAAUCUCCUUUUCUCAAAACAACAACGAUAGCCGCCCCCUUCACCCUUCUCAUCCCCGGCCCUUCUCCACUUUGCCAAAAAUGGAACCUCCUUAACCAUUAUAGCUGGCCACCUGCCACCACCUGCACAUGAAUCCCACCAAAAUCGACCCUCCAACCCACGAAUCCUUUAAGAAUGAAAAAAAUAAUCCCCUAAUCCAUAUAACAACAGAAAAAUGAGUCAAAAUUGUCAUUAAUGGCCUGGAAAAGCAAGAGAUUUGUUUCAGAUUUUUAAAUCAAUUUUAAACCAAGUUUUCUUAUCAUGUUUUGCUUAAAUCGAGAAAGUCCAGAUUCCCCUAUAAAUAUAGGUCCUCGUCAUCUGUAAGGGGGCAGACAAAAAAUUUGUGAGAAACUCAGAGAGAAAAGAAACAAAGUAAGAAAAAAGAGCAAAUAUCUGUGAGAAAAAAAAAGUAAAAGGUCGGUGGAAAGAGAUGGAGUUCUUAUUUUUCAAACUCAUUCGUGAUCCAGAAGAGUUUUGGGUCAGCAACUAUAAGAGGACCGCACACAGUCAGUCAAGUAUUAGGAGUUUUGAGUUUCAAGGAACCCAACGCUGUAAUUUUCAUUGUCCUUUACAUCAUGUUAUUAUUAUUUCAUUGUUACUUGCUAAAAUGCUUUGUGUGAUUUGGCAUAGACUAAGCAACUUUGUUAAAAGAAUCUUCAAUCCAUCAUUAACGUAUAUCGUUGUUUCUUA